AAUGGAGAUAUUGCUGCUCUCUCCUUUGAAGGGCUUCAUUUACAGCCGUUGAUAUUUAUGACAAAUCUGUGUAGAGAAGAAAAUCUGAAAAAACUGAUCGCAGCCAGCCCUCUCGCUAAAACCCUGGAGGAGAUAAAAGAAGCUCUUAAGUCACAGGCUGCACAGGACAAAUCCCUGGAAGAAAGUUCCAUACCAUUGACUAGUAGUGUCCUGGUUCCCAUGGAUAUGAGCAAGUUGUCACCUCGACAAUUUAUUGUCUACCGAUUUGGCAGUACCGUCUUACAUCUUCUCUGUCU